rnacentral:rRNA from 1 species
ACGUUAGCGGCGGACGGGUGAGUAGCACGUGGGUAACCUACCUAUAAGACUGGGAUAACUUCGGGAAACCGGAGCUAAUACCGGAUAAUAUUUCGAACCGCAUGGUUCGAUAGUGAAAGAUGGUUUUGCUAUCACUUAUAGAUGGACCCGCGCCGUAUUAGCUAGUUGGUAAGGUAACGGCCUACCAAGGCGACGAUACGUAGCCGACCUGAGAGGGUGAUCGGCCACACUGGAACUGAGACACGGUCCAGACUCCUACGGGAGGCAGCAGCC